rnacentral:rRNA from 1 species
CCUACGGGAGGCAGCAGUGGGGAAUAUUGGACAAUGGGGGGAACCCUGAUCCAGCGACGCCGCGUGAGUGAAGAAGUAUUUCGGUAUGUAAAGCUCUAUCAGCAGGGAAGAAAGAAAUGACGGUACCUGACUAAGAAGCCCCGGCUAACUACGUGCCAGCAGCCGCGGUAAUACGUAGGGGGCAAGCGUUAUCCGGAUUUACUGGGUGUAAAGGGGGCGUAGACGGCGAUGCAAGUCUGAAGUGAAAGGCGGGGGCCCAACCCCCGGACUGCUUUGGAAACUGUAUGGCUGGAGUGCAGGAGAGGUAAGUGGAAUUCCUAGUGUAGCGGUGAAAUGCGUAGAUAUUAGGAGGAACACCAGUGGCGAAGGCGGCUUACUGGACUGUAACUGACGUUGAGGCUCGAAAGCGUGGGGAGCAAACAGGAUUAGAUACCCGGGUAGUC